rnacentral:rRNA from 1 species
AGAGAGAGACAUGCGCGCAUAUCAAUAAGCGGAGGAAAAGGAACUAACAAGGAUUCCCUUAGUAACGGCGAGUGAAGCGGGAAGAGCUCAAAUUUGAAAUCUUCAAGGUUCUACCUUGACGAAUUGUAGUUUAUAGAAGUGCUUUCUGUUAGUGGAGUUUGGUAAAAGUUCUUUGGAAUAGGACAUCAUAGAGGGUGAGAAUCCCGUAUUUGGUCAUUCCUCCUAGCGUUGUGAUACACUUUCAACGAGUCGGAUUGUUUGGGAAUGCAGUCCAAAAUGGGUGGUAAAUUUCAUCUAAAGCUAAAUAUUGGCGAGAGACCGAUAGCGAACAAGUACCGUGAGGGAAAGAUGAAAAGAACUUUGAAAAGAGAGUUAAACAGUACGUGAAAUUGUCAAAAGGGAAGCGUUUGACACCAGUGUUGUUUUUCCGAAAAUCAAUUACGAAUGUUUUGUUUUUGAGGAGUUAUGACUUCAUCGGCUUGCUCCUUUCUUUACGAAACUUUCUUAAUGCACUUUUCGGUUAACAAGUCAACAUCAAUUUCUUUUGCUGUAAAAGGGGUAUGAGGAAGGUGGCUUUCUUUUCGGAGAAAGUGUUUAUAGCCUUGUGCCUCUGCAAUCGGAGAGAUUGAGGUCUGCAGCGUAGAUCCUUCGGGGUUAGAUACAUUGGUGCUAAGCUAUAGCCUUGUAUAGACAACUUGUUGACUAUGUUUAGUCUUGUAGCUUACUCGCUGACGCUAUUUUACCUACGCUUAGGAUGUUGAUAGUCACAGCGUGUAC